GAUGAAGAACGCAACGAAAUGCGAUACUUGGUGUGAAUUGCAGAAUCCCGUGAACCAUCGAGUCUUUGAACGCAAGUUGCGCCCGAAGCCAUUAGGCCGAGGGCACGCCUGCCUGGGCGUCACACGUCGUUGCCCCCCCAUCUACUCCUUCGGGAUUGCGGGGGGCGGAUGAUGGCCUCCCGUGCGCCUCGUCGCGCGGUUGGCAUAAAUGCCAAGUCCUCGGCGACGCACGCCACGACAAUCGGUGGUUGCGAAACCUCGGUUGCCCGUCGUGUGCGGUCGUCGCGCAUCGAGGGCUCGAAAAAAUUGCCGGGCUCCGGCUCGGCUUUCAACGCGACCCCAGGUCAGGCGGGGUUACCCGCUGAAUUUAAGCAUAUCAAUAAGCGGAGGA
rnacentral:misc_RNA from 1 species